rnacentral:rRNA from 1 species
AGAGUUUGAUCAUGGCUCAGAACGAACGCUGGCGGCAUGCCUAACACAUGCAAGUCGAACGCCCUGGUUCGCCAGGGAGUGGCGCACGGGUGAGUAACGCGUGGGAACCUGCCCGGCAGUACGGGACAACCGCGGGAAACUGCGGCUGAUACCGUAUACGGCCUGAGGGCGAAAGAAAUUCGCUGUCGGAGGGGCCCGCGUCGGAUUAGGUAGUUGGUGGGGUAACGGCCUACCAAGCCUGCGAUCCGUAGCUGGUCUGAGAGGAUGAUCAGCCACACUGGGACUGAGACACGGCCCAGACUCCUACGGGAGGCAGCAGUGGGGAAUAUUGGACAAUGGGCGCAAGCCUGAUCCAGCAAUGCCGCGUGAGUGAUGAAGGCCUUAGGGUUGUAAAGCUCUUUCGCCCGCGACGAUGAUGACGGUAGCGGGAGAAGAAGCCCCGGCUAACUCCGUGCCAGCAGCCGCGGUAAUACGGAGGGGGCUAGCGUUGUUCGGAAUUACUGGGCGUAAAGGGCGCGCAGGCGGCUGCUCAAGUCAGGCGUGAAAGGCCUGGGCUCAACCCGGGAAUUGCGCUUGAGACUGGGCUGGCUUGAGUGCGGGAGAGGAUGGUGGAAUUCCCAGUGUAGAGGUGAAAUUCGUAGAUAUUGGGAAGAACACCGGUGGCGAAGGCGGCCAUCUGGACCGCAACUGACGCUGAGGCGCGAAAGCGUGGGGAGCAAACAGGAUUAGAUAC